rnacentral:rRNA from 1 species
UGGGGAAUAUUGGGCAAUGGGCGCAAGCCUGACCCAGCAACGCCGCGUGAAGGAAGAAGGCUUUCGGGUUGUAAACUUCUUUUCUUGGGGACGAAGAAAGUGACGGUACCCAAGGAAUAAGCCACGGCUAACUACGUGCCAGCAGCCGCGGUAAUACGUAGGUGGCAAGCGUUAUCCGGAUUUAUUGGGUGUAAAGGGCGUGUAGGCGGGAAUGCAAGUCAGAUGUGAAACUAUGGGCUCAACCCAUAGCCUGCAUUUGAAACUGUAUUUCUUGAGUGCUGGAGAGGCAAUCGGAAUUCCGUGUGUAGCGGUGAAAUGCGUAGAUAUACGGAGGAACACCAGUGGCGAAGGCGGAUUGCUGGACAGUAACUGACGCUGAGGCGCAAAAGCGUGGGGAGCAAACAGGAUUAGAUACCC